GGGACGAUAGCUCAGUAGGUAGAGCGCUGGACUGAAAAUCCAGGACGAUAGCGGCAGUUCGAUCCUGCCUCGUCCCA
rnacentral:tRNA from 2 species